CCUACGGGUGACUGCAGUGAGGAAUAUUGGUCAAUGGACGCAAGUCUGAACCAGCCAUGCCGCGUGCAGGAAGACGGCUCUAUGAGUUGUAAACUGCUUUUGUACGAGGGUAAACGCAGAUACGCGUAUCUUUCUGCAAGUAUCGUACGAAUAAGGAUCGGCUAACUCCGUGCCAGCAGCCGCGGUAAUACGGAGGAUUCAAGCGUUAUCCGGAUUUAUUGGGUUUAAAGGGUGCGUAGGCGGUCGGUUAAGUUAGAGGUGAAAUCCCGAGGCUCAAAUUCGGAAUUGCCUCUAAUACUGUAAGGCUAGAGAGGAGAUGCGGUAGGCGGAAUGUAUGGAGUAGCGGUGAAAUGCUUAGAGAUCAUACAGAACACCGAUUGCGAAGGCAGCUUACCAAGCUACGUCUGACGUUGAGGCACGAGAGCGUGGGGAGCAAACAGGAUUAGAUACCCUUGUAGUC
rnacentral:rRNA from 1 species